UGAAUACGAGAUGCUACGGCGUCGAAGCAGUCUAUGUCAUACUUCCAAGAAAAGCUUGCACUGUCAUAAACAAAUAAUGCCUGUACCAUAACCGACACAGGUGGGUAGGUAGAGUAUACUAAGGGGCGCGAGAUAACUCUCUCUAAGGAACUCGGCAAAAUGACUCCGUAACUUCGGGAGAAGGAGUGCCUUAUUUAUAAGGUUGCAAUAACAAGAUCCAAGCAACUGUUUACCAAAAACACAGGUCUCCGCUAAGUCGUAAGACGAUGUAUGGGGGCUGACGCCUGCCCAGUGCCAGAAGGUUAAAGAAGUUGGUUAGCAUCCGCGAAGCUGAUAACUGAAGCCCUGGUGAACGGCGGCCGUAACGAUAACGGUCCUAAGGUAGCGAAAUUCCUUGUCGGGUAAGUUCCGACCCGCACGAAAGGCGUAAUGAUUUGGAUACUGUCUCGGAGAGGGGCUCGGUGAAAUAGACUUGUCUGUGAAGAUGCGGACUACCUGCACCAGGACAGAAAGACCCUAUGAAGCUUUACUGUAACCUGAAAUUGAAAUUGGACUUUACUUGCGCAGUAUAGGUGGGAGGCGUUGAGAAUAUUCUUGCGGGAUUAUUGGAGCCAUCAGUGAGAUACCACUCUUGUAAUGUUAGAUUUCUAACUUUGUAUCAUUAUCUGGACAAAGAACAGUUUCAGGCGGGCAGUUUGACUGGGGCGGUCGCCUCCUAAACGGUAACGGAGGCGCACAAAGGUUUCCUCUGAACGGAUAGAAAUCGUAUCUAGAGUGUAAAGGCAUAAGGAAGCUUGACUGUGAGACCUACAAGUCGAGCAGGGACGAAAGUCGGUCUUAGUGAUCUGACGGUGCUGAGUGGAAAGGCCGUCACUCAACGGAUAAAAGUUACUCUAGGAUAACAGGCUGAUCUCCCCCAAGAGUUCACAUCGACGGGGAGGUUUGGCACCUCGAUGUCGGCUCAUCGCAUCCUGGGGCGGUAGUACGUCCCAAGGGUUGGGCUGUUCGCCCGUGAAAGCGGUACGCGAGCUGGGUUCAGAACGUCGUGAGACAGUUCGGUCCAUAUCCGGUGUAGGCGUUAGAAUAUUGAGAGGAGCCUUCUUUAGUACGAGAGGACCGAGAAGGACAUACCUCUGGUGUACCAGUUAUCGUGCCAACGGUAAACGCUGGGUAGCUAUGUGUGGAGUGGAUAACCGCUGAAAGCAUCUAAGUGGGAAGCCCACCUCAAGAUAAGUAUUCUU
rnacentral:rRNA from 1 species